GUGGUUCGAAUUCAUUUUUAACAGUGCUGUCUUUUCCUAUUUUUGAAAGAAAGCAACUUUUCACCCCCCCUUGACCCGCGCAUGGAUCGAAAGAGCGCUUGUUUUAGUCCAUCUUCGGAAAAUGUAGUUUCACUAGACGCUACGGGGCAGGAAUUCUCUUAGGAUAAGGGGAAUCGAAUUAAUUGUCAACAGUGCUGUCUUUUCCUAUGUUCUAAAGGAGGCACAUUUUCAUCUCUCCUUGACGCGAUGACGUUUUCCACAAAGGUUAAGGAAAAGAGGAAUAAAGCUAAGGAUAUUUGACAUUCCGUAGGCCCUGACGACGUUUUCCACAAAGAUUAAGGAAAGGAUGCAUAAAGAUAUUUUGUGGCAGUCAGUGAGUCCCAAAAAUCUCAGUUCUGGCAAACUUCAAGAAGAGGGUGGCUAAACGCGAACCAAAAUUCAAGGACAACGAGCCCAAAAGUGCUUCUGAAUUCCUCAUCUGUGUUCUGAAGCAACUGGGGUUUCCAGUAUCUAAACACUGUGACUUCACCCUACAAAGUGAGAAGUCAGUGUAAGCUUUAGUUUCCGCCUCUGGUGACUUAACAUGUCUUCACCUGCUGUACUCAGAGGACAAACCUUAUUUGUAUUCCCUUACUGUACCGACAGCAAUAUAUUAUUUCACCUUCUUCUUUCAAAUGUACUUUGUAAGUUGCUUUAGAUAAAAGCGUCUGCUAAAUGCCCUAAAUGUAAUGGCGCAAUUAGUGAGAUUUAUAUUAGCAGCAGGGACGGUUGGUAUAAAUGGGCUAACAGGGCUAAGCCCUCCCGACCUUUUACAGUAAAAAUUAAAAAAUAUUAUUAAAAACCUUAGAACAUAUUGUUUUA
ensembl:lncRNA